GACGAACGCUGGCGGCGUGCUUAACACAUGCAAGUCGAACGGAAAGGCCCAGCUUGCUGGGUGCUCGAGUGGCGAACGGGUGAGUAACACGUGGGUGAUCUGCCCCUAACUUCGGGAUAAGCUUGGGAAACUGGGUCUAAUACCGGAUAGGACAAUCGUCUAGUGUCGGUUGUGGAAAGUUUUUUCGGUUAGGGAUGAGCCCGCGGCCUAUCGGAUUGUUGGUGGGGUAAUGGCCUACCAAGGCGUCGACGGGUAGCCGGCCUGAGAGGGUGGACGGCCACAUUGGGACUGAGAUACGGCCCAGACUCCUACGGGAGGCAGCAGUGGGGAAUAUUGCACAAUGGGCGCAAGCCUGAUGCAGCGACGCCGCGUGGGGGAUGACGGCCUUCGGGUUGUAAACCUCUUUCGACAGGGACGAAGCCUUGGUGACGGUACCUGUAUAAGAGGCACCGGCUAACUACGUG
rnacentral:rRNA from 1 species